UGGGGAUCUGGCACUGUGGAUCAUGGCAGGAAAGCAGUAGUGGGUGGUGCUGGGAUGGGCAGCACUGCCUCUGCAGUCACAGUAAAGUCUGCC
rnacentral:miRNA from 1 species